rnacentral:rRNA from 1 species
GACGAACGCUGGCGGCGUGCUUAACACAUGCAAGUCGAACGAUGAAGCCGGAGCUUGCUCUGGUGAAUUAGUGGCGAACGGGUGAGUAACACGUGAGUAACCUGCCCUUGACUCUGGGAUAACUGCGGGUAACUGUAGCUAAUACCGGAUACGACCCUCGGAGGCAUCUCCUGGGGGUGGAAAGAAUUUCGGUCAAGGAUGGACUCGCGGCCUAUCAGCUAGUUGGUGAGGUAAAGGCUCACCAAGGCGACGACGGGUAGCCGGCCUGAGAGGGGGACCGGCCACACUGGGACGGAGACACGGCCCAGACUCCUACGGGAGGCAGCAGUGGGGAAUAUUGCACAGUGGGCGCAAGCCUGAUGCAGCAACGCCGCGUGAGGGAUGACGGCCUUCGGGUUGUAAACCUCUUUUAGCAGGGAAGAAGCGAAAGUGACGGUACCAGCAGAAAAAGCACCGGCUAACUACGUGCCAGCCGCCGCCGUAA